rnacentral:rRNA from 1 species
GACAGAGGGUGCAAACGUUGCUCGGAAUCACUGGGCGUAAAGGGCGCGUAGGCGGCCCGCUAAGUCGAACGUGAAAUCCCCGAGCUCAACUCGGGAACUGCGUCCGAUACUGGCGGGCUUGAAUCCGGGAGAGGGAUGCGGAAUUCCAGGUGUAGCGGUGAAAUGCGUAGAUAUCUGGAGGAACACCGGGGCGAAGGCGGCAUCCUGGACCGGCAUUGACGCUGAGGCGCGAAAGCUAGGGGAGCAAACGGG